rnacentral:rRNA from 2 species
GGGAACGUACCUUUUGGUUCGGAACAACACAGGGAAACUUGUGCUAAUACCGGAUAAGCCCUUACGGGGAAAGAUUUAUCGCCGAAAGAUCGGCCCGCGUCUGAUUAGCUAGUUGGUAGGGUAACGGCCUACCAAGGCGACGAUCAGUAGCUGGUCUGAGAGGAUGAUCAGCCACAUUGGGACUGAGACACGGCCCAAACUCCUACGGGAGGCAGCAGUGGGGAAUAUUGGACAAUGGGGGCAACCCUGAUCCAGCCAUGCCGCGUGAGUGAUGAAGGCCCUAGGGUUGUAAAGCUCUUUUGUGCGGGAAGAUAAUGACGGUACCGCAAGAAUAAGCCCCGGCUAACUUCGUGCCAGCAGCCGCGGUAAUACGAAGGGGGCUAGCGUUGCUCGGAAUCACUGGGCGUAAAGGGUGCGUAGGCGGGUUUUUAAGUCAGAGGUGAAAUCCUGGAGCUCAACUCCAGAACUGCCUUUGAUACUGGGAAUCUUGAGUAUGGAAGAGGUGAGUGGAACUGCGAGU